rnacentral:rRNA from 1 species
UACGUAGGGCGCAAGCGUUGUCCGGAAUUAUUGGGCGUAAAGAGCUCGUAGGCGGCUUGUCACGUCGAUUGUGAAAGCCCGAGGCUUAACCUCGGGUCUGCAGUCGAUACGGGCUAGCUAGAGUGUGGUAGGGGAGAUCGGAAUUCCUGGUGUAGCGGUGAAAUGCGCAGAUAUCAGGAGGAACACCGGUGGCGAAGGCGGUUCUCUGGGCCUGUACUGACGCUGAGGAACGAAAGCGUGGGGAGCGAACAGG